ACCACUCAUCCACACGGCGCCUAACAUGCUGUCUGCCAUCUGUCCGGUACAGUUGAAACCGGGAUUAAUCCUUGAAGAGCACACUUUUCCAGCGUGCGAGUGGCCAUCAAAGGUGAGUAUUUGCCCACUGAAGUUGGUUACGACGCCAAUCUGCAGUCAGGUCAAGACCCUGGUGAGGACUACGAGCACUCAGAUGAGCUUCCCUGAGAUGGUUUCUGACAGUUUGUGCAGAAAUUCUUCGGCUGUGCAAACACACCAUUUCGUCAGCUGCCCGGGUUGCUGGUCUCAGACGAUCCCGCAGGUGAAGAAGCCGGAUGUGGCGGUCCUGGGCUGGCGUGGUUACACCAUGUCUGCAGUUGUGAGGCCAGUUGGACGUAUUGCCAAAUUCUCUAAAACUAUGUUGUUUGGCGACUUAUGGUAGAGAAAUUAACAUAAAAUGAUCUGACAACAGCUCUGGUGGACAUUCCUGCAGUCAACAUGUAGAUAUUGCACACUCCCUCAAAACUUGAGACAUUUGUGGCAUUGUGUUGUGUGAUUGAACUGCACAUUUUAGAGUGGGCUUCUUGAUAUACCAUGCCUGUCAGGUGGAUGGAUUAUCUUGGCAAAAGAGAAAUGCUCACUAACAGGGAUGUAAACACAUUUGUGCAAAAAAAGUGAGAUAAAUAAGUAUGGAACAUUUCAGAUAUCUUUUAUUUCAGCCCCUUAAACAUGGGACCAACACUUUUACAUGUUGCAUUUAUAUGUUAGUUCAGUAUAAAUACUCCAUACUGUGUUUUCUCUCUCCUCAUAGCCUAUUCUCUACAGUAAAACCGUUUCUCCGCAGAUGUUGCCUUGUGUCGUUACUAAGAUACCCGGGUUAACAACAGUAAGUAUGCAUGGUAAUCUGCUGAGCAGGGGAGCUACGCUAGCACGCUCACACACAGCUCAAUGCACAAUGGUAGACAAAUAAGCCCUUUCAUAUUUACCCACCCCCCUGGAUAGUCUGGGAUGGACGGAAACGAAGGACAUACAGACCCUCGCUAUGUCCCAAAUGGCACCUUAUUUCCUUCAUGUCCCUAUGUACCCUGGUCAAAAGAAGUGCACUAUAUAGGGAAUAGGGUGCCAUUUGGGACGUGAUCUCUAACAUGGAUGGGAAAGAGGGGGGACACAGGACGCCCUGUUUUGGUGUAUUUUUAUUUAGAAUAGGGAGUUAUAUUUUAAGGCACAUAUUACGACACAAUGUCUUAGUGGCUUGAACUGAUCCCGUUGUAGAUGGAGGAUCCCUAUUCCCCAACAUUGGACCUCCCUGCUUUUGGGUUUUCUAGCUGUAUGGGAUUCUAUUUUAUAUUCUAUUCUAUGUUAUAUGCGCUUCUGUAAUAUAUAUUCCCCAUCUAUUCCCAUUGUACACAAAUGCAUACUGCAGUUUGUUCUAAUACAUUUCACAUUUUGGUCAUUUAGCAGACGCUCUUAUCCAGAGAGACUUAACUGCCUACUAGGAAAGUGGAUUAUUUUGUUUUCACAAAUAGACCUUUAAAAUUCCAUACAUCACACACGCACCUCACACGUCACACACACCUAAUCACAUGCACACACGCACACUCAGCAAUUCAGUGCCUCAGGCAGACUGUGGUAAUGGAGAAUUUUUUAAUCAUAGUUUGUGUGUCCAUCCUGUUACCUGACAACUUAUAGUAUAUUUACAUUCUUCACUGAUCCAUUUCAUUACUGUUAGCUUUACAGCUUUAUCUAUCAUGCUCAUAGCUUGUAAAUGUACUCUCUUUUUGCAGUUUCCAUCCACCCUUUUAAACUGUUAACACACGCACACAUAGACACACGCGUACACACACACGCGCACCCUCUACUCCUCAGUGAUAGUGUAGUGACAGACAGGAGGGCCCAAAUUAAAUGAUUCCCUUACCCAUAAUGCCUAGCUGCUCUACCAGUAGUUCAUUAAUGUGCUGAGUUCCGAUAGUGGAACAACACAGAGGGCCAUCGCUCCGACAAUCCCUCAUCUCUAUGAGACGCUACAAUUGAUCACCAAUUCAAUUGCUAACUAGAGAAAAUUUAAUUGGGAGCCUUAACAUUGUUUGUUAACCACUGUGGCGAUGGAAUUAGACGGAUUACCAGGUCGUGUACUGCGAGCAUGCGCUGACCAACUGGCAGGUGUCUUCACUGCCAUUUUCAACCUCUCCCUGUCCGAGUCUGUAAUACCAACAUGUUUUAAGCAUACCACCAUAGUCCCUGUGCCCAAGAAGACUACGGUAACCUGCCUAAAUGACUACUACUGUAGCCAUCAAGUGCUUUGAAAGGCUGGUCAUGGCUCACAUCAACACUAUUAUCCCAGAAACCCUAGUCCCACUCAAUCUGCAUACCGCCCCAACAGAUCCGCGAAUGAUGCAAUAUCUAUUGCACUCCACACUGCCCUUUCCCACCUGGACAAAAGGAACACCUAUGUGAGAAUGCUAUUAAUUGACCACAGCUCACUGUUCAAAACCAUAGUGCCCUCAAAGCUCACCAAUAAGCCAAGGACCCUGGGACUAAACACCUCCCUCUGCAACUGGAACCUGGACUUCCUGACGGGCCGCUCCCAGGUGGUGAGGGUAGGCAACAACACAUCCGCCACCCUGAUCCUCAACACAGGGGCCCCUCAGGGGUGCGUGCUCAGGUUUCUUGGUGUCCACAUCACCAACAAACUAACAUGGUCCAAGCACACCAAGACAGUCGUGAAGAGGGCACGACAAAACCUAUUCCCCCCCAGGAGACUAAAAAGGUUUGGCAUGGGUCCUCAGAUCCUCAAAAGGUUCUACAGCUGCACCAUCGAGAGCAUCCUGAUGGGUUGCAUCACUCCCUGGUAUGGCAACUGCUCAGCCUCCGACCGCAAGGCUCUCUGGAGGGUAGUGCAUACGGCCCAGUACAUCACUGGGGCCAAGCUUCCUGCCUUCCAGGACCUCUAUACCAGGCGGUGUCAGAGGAAAGCCCUGAAAAUUGUCAAAGACUCCAGCCACGUAAUUCAUAGACUGUCCUCUCUGCUACCACACGGCAAGCGGUACCGGAGCGCCAAGUCUACGUCCAAGAGGCUUCUAAAGUCUAGGUAACUCUACUGGAACUGUAGGUAGAUUCUGGUCUGGGUGCUCUGCCUCUCAUCUAACUCUACUGGAACUGUAGGUAGAUUCUGGUCUGGGUGCUCUGCCUCUCAUCUAACUCUACUGGAACUGUAGGUAGAUUCUGGUCUGGGUGCUCUGCCUCUCAUCUAACUCUACUGGAACUGUAGGUAGAUUCUGGUCUGGGUGCUCUGCCUCUCAUCUAACUCUACUGGAACUGUAGGUAGAUUCUGGUCUGGGUGCUCUGCCUCUCAUCUAACUCUACUGGAACUGUAGGUAGAUUCUGGUCUGGGUGCUCUGCCUCUCAUCUAACUCUACUGGAACUGUAGGUAGAUUCUGGUCUGGGUGCUCUGCCUCUCAUCUAACUCUACUGGAACUGUAGGUAGAUUCUGGUCUGGGUGCUCUGCCUCUCAUCUAACUCUACUGGAACUGUAGGUAGAUUCUGGUCUGGGUGCUCUGCCUCUCAUCUAACUCUACUGGAACUGUAGGUAGAUUCUGGUCUGGGUGCUCUGCCUCUCAUCUAACUCUACUGGAACUGUAGGUAGAUUCUGGUCUGGGUGCUCUGCCUCUCAUCUAACUCUACUGGAACUGUAGGUAGAUUCUGGUCUGGGUGCUCUGCCUCUCAUCUAACUCUACUGGAACUGUAGGUAGAUUCUGGUCUGGGUGCUCUGCCUCUCAUCUAACUCUACUGGAACUGUAGGUAGAUUCUGGUCUGGGUGCUCUGCCUCUCAUCUAACUCUACUGGAACUGUAGGUAGAUUCUGGUCUGGGUGCUCUGCCUCUCAUCUAACUCUACUGGAACUGUAGGUAGAUUCUGGUCUGGGUGCUCUGCCUCUCAUCUAACUCUACUGGAACUGUAGGUAGAUUCUGGUCUGGGUGCUCUGCCUCUCAUCUAACUCUACUGGAACUGUAGGUAGAUUCUGGUCUGGGUGCUCUGCCUCUCAUCUAACUCUACUGGAACUGUAGGUAGAUUCUGGUCUGGGUGCUCUGCCUCUCAUCUAACUCUACUGGAACUGUAGGUAGAUUCUGGUCUGGGUGCUCUGCCUCUCAUCUAACUCUACUGGAACUGUAGGUAGAUUCUGGUCUGGGUGCUCUGCCUCUCAUCUAACUCUACUGGAACUGUAGGUAGAUUCUGGUCUGGGUGCUCUGCCUCUCAUCUAACUCUACUGGAACUGUAGUUAUCUAGAUGAUCUCUCUCUCUCUAUUUACUCACUCACUCACUCACUGUGUGUGCGUGCGUGUGUAGCGACUGUAGUGAUAUGAACUGCAGCGGCCACGUUUGUGUGUGUGUGCGUGUGUGCGUGUGUGUUGGUGUGCGCGUGUGUGCAUGUGUGUGCGUGUGUGUGCGUGUAAGCAGCAUGACUCAGGUCUUACCAGAUUCUUCCUGUUGCCUCAGUCAUCAGUCUGAGGCCUUGCUUCACUCCACUCUUACUAGUCCAACUCACAAUUCGAUCAACACACAGUCCAACACAGAGCUAAUUAGACAGUGGAGAAACACACACACACAUUCACACACAGUAAAUGAAACCAAGAGAUUUGGUGUGAAUCAUCUGUGAAGUGAGGAAAAAAAUAAGUUAUUUUUCUCACACUCCCAGGAGCAAAUGUUGUUCAAGAGGUCUUGUAAUGUUUUGUAUUGAGUUCCAACAAAUAUUGACUCAUCAUUCUUUAAUUAGGUCUUCUCAUAUUCUGAACUCCCACAAAUACAGAUCCAUGACAUUGACCGUACUGCAGCAUGCAGCAGAAACUAACACGUUCCCACACCCACGUACGCACGUGUGCUCUCUCUCUCUCUCUCUCUCUCUCUCUCUCUCUCUCUCUCUCUCUCUCUCUCUCUCUCUCUCUCUCUCUCUCUCUCACACGCACGCACGCACGCACGCACGCACGCACACACGCACACACACACACUUGCAUAACUAAACUUUUGGGGACACACCAUUCAGUCCCAUUCAAAAUCCUCUUUUUCCUAAACCUAACCCUAAUGUGUAUCCUAACCUUAACCCGAAACCCAACCCUAAAACUCACCCAAGCUCCUAACCCUAAACCUAAUUCUAACACUAGUUCUAAUCUUAACCCUGAACCACCUAGAAAUAGCAUUUGACCUUGUGGGGACUGACAAAAUGUCCCAACAAGUAUAGUUAAACACGUUCAUACUCUCACACACACACAGACAACCAUACACACACAACUUGCUGUACAUAUCUCUCUGACCCCUGCUUACUACAGGACUUGAGAUCUGACGCUGGGAGAUUAAAUGUCUUGUUUAAUUACACCUGAUUAGACCAUGGAGGAACUCAAAUCCCUCUUG